rnacentral:rRNA from 1 species
UACGAAGGUGUCAAACGUUGUCCGGAAUUACUGGGCGUAAAGGGCGCGUAGGCGGCCCGCUAAGUCGAACGUGAAAUCCCCGAGCUCAACUCGGGAACUGCGUCCGAUACUGGGUGACUUGAGUUCGGGAGAGGAAUGUGGAAUUCCAGAUGUAGCGGUGAAAUGCGUAGAUAUCUGGAGGAACACCGGUGGCGAAGGCGGCAUUCUGGACCGAAACUGACGCUGAGGCGCGAAAGCCAGGGGAGCAAACGGG